rnacentral:rRNA from 1 species
GCGGCAAUAACAGGUCUGUGAUGCCCUCAGAUGUUCCGGGCUGCACACGUGCUACAUUUAGUAGCGCAGUGUGCACAUUAAUAGAGUGAUAGGUUCCGUGGUUUGUACAUUUUAAGGGCUCGUCCUAGUAACCAAAGCUCCACGGGACAUAUCAACCUUCCCCUUACAGGGCGGGUAACCUCUUCGAAGUGCUGGCAUGAUUUCCCUAGUUUUGGCAUUUGAAUCCUUGUCGCAGCAGCCCUGAGACGUAGUGAACGCUGCAAAGUGAUUCCAGUCUUAGGUUUGCGACACAUGCAAUUCCUGGUUGACUCAUCGUGGGGACUGAUUCUUGUAAUUAUUUUUCACGGUUCAACCAGGAAUGCCUUGUACCGGCGGCUCAU